GGAGGGUAUAGCUCAUUGGUAGAGUGUGUGCUUAGCAUGCAUAAGGUCCUGGGUUCAAUCCCCAGUACCUCCA
rnacentral:tRNA from 1 species